UGGGGAAUCUUGCGCAAUGGGCGAAAGCCUGACGCAGCGACGCCGCGUGUGCGAUGAAGGUCUUCGGAUCGUAAAGCACUGUCGCCCGGGACAAAAGCCCCGCAAGGGGAUUGAUGGUACCGGGAGAGGAAGCACCGGCUAACUCUGUGCCAGCAGCCGCGGUAAUACAGAGGGUGCGAGCGUUGUUCGGAAUUAUUGGGCGUAAAGCGCAUGUAGGCGGCUUGUUAAGUCGCGUGUGAAAUCCCCAGGCUCAACCUGGGAAGUGCGCGCGAAACUGGCGAGCUUGAGUGCCGGAGAGGGUGGCGGAAUUCCCGGUGUAGAGGUGAAAUUCGUAGAUAUCGGGAGGAACACCAGAGGCGAAGGCGGCCACCUGGACGGACACUGACGCUGAGACGCGAAAGCGUGGGGAGCAAACAGG
rnacentral:rRNA from 1 species